rnacentral:rRNA from 1 species
CAAUAGCGUAUAUUAAAGUUGUUGCAGUUAAAAAGCUCGUAGUUGGAUUUGUGGCGUACGGUGUGUUCCGGGCACUUGUUGUCUGAGUAACCUGCUGUUGCCAUCCUUGGGUGGAACCUGUGUGGCAUUAGGUUGUCGUGCAGGGGAUGCCCAUCAUUUACUGUGAAAAAAUUAGAGUGUUCAAAGCAGGCUUAUGCCGUUGAAUAUAUUAGCAUGGAAUAAUGAGAUAGGACCUUGGUACUAUUUUGUUGGUUUGCGCACCGAGGUAAUGAUUAAUAGGGACAGUUGGGGGUAUUCGUAUUCCAUUGUCAGAGGUGAAAUUCUUGGAUUUUUGGAAGACGAACUACUGCGAAAGCAUUUACCAAGGAUGUUUUCAUUAA